rnacentral:rRNA from 1 species
GAUGAACGCUGGCGGCGUGCUUAACACAUGCCAGUCAAACGGGAAACCUUUUAUUGAAGCUUCGGCAGAUUUAGCUGGUUUCUAGUGGCGGACGGGUGAGUAACGCGUGGGUAACCUGCCCUAUACAGGGGGAUAACAACCAGAAAUGGUUGCUAAUACCGCAUAAGCGCACAGGGCCGCAUGGUCCGGUGUGAAAAACUCCGGUGGUAUAGGAUGGACCCGCGUUGGAUUAGCCAGUUGGCAGGGUAACGGCCUACCAAAGCGACGAUCCAUAGCCGGCCUGAGAGAGUGAACGGCCACAUUGGGACUGAGACACGGCCCAGACUCCUACGGGAGGCAGCAGUGGGGAAUAUUGCACAAUGGGGGAAACCCUGAUGCAGCGACGCCGCGUGAAGGAAGAAGUAUCUCGGAAUGUAAACUUCUAUCAGCAGGGAAGAUAGUGACGGUACCUGACUAAGAAGCCCCGGCUAACUACGUG